GACGAACGCUGGCGGCGUGCUUAACACAUGCAAGUCGAACGGAAAGGCCCUGCUUUUGUGGGGUGCUCGAGUGGCGAACGGGUGAGUAACACGUGAGUAACCUGCCCUUGACUUUGGGAUAACUUCAGGAAACUGGGGCUAAUACCGGAUAGGAGCUCCUGCUGCAUGGUGGGGGUUGGAAAGUUUCGGCGGUUGGGGAUGGACUCGCGGCUUAUCAGCUUGUUGGUGGGGUAGUGGCUUACCAAGGCUUUGACGGGUAGCCGGCCUGAGAGGGUGACCGGCCACAUUGGGACUGAGAUACGGCCCAGACUCCUACGGGAGGCAGUAGUGGGGAAUAUUGCAAAAUGGGCGGAAGCCUGAUGCAGCAACGCCGCGUGCGGGAUGACGGCCUUCGGGUUGUAAACCGCUUUCGCCUGUGACGAAGCGUGAGUGACGGUAAUGGGUAAAGAAGCACCGGCUAACUACGUG
rnacentral:rRNA from 1 species